rnacentral:lncRNA from 10 species
CUAGGAUGGAUGGGAAUAAGGUUCAUUCCCGAAGAUGUUUAUAUUAAGAAGAGCCUAUUAAAUAUAUUCUUAAGCCUGCUUGCUGUUGCUUAACUUCACUGAGACCUAGAAACAAUGCAACUGAAGUGACAAAAUCACCUUGACAUCUGCCCUAGGAUUCCUCAACUGACCGCUGGCUCUAUCUCUCAGCAAAUCUUCCCGUCCCACUGGACACAUGGAAACUUUGGAUCUCUAUGCAACAAUCAAAGGGAACAAGCAACUGUAGGGAAAGUAGGAAGUCCAACAAUUUCUUCUUCAUAGACCGUUUUGCCUGAUCUUCCUGAGGAAAGAGAGCUAGAAGACAUAGACAAGGAUGAGAAGAGCUAUUCUUAGGGGAGAGCCAGAUUUCAGUAUGUGCUCAUGUUUGGGAGC